UUUCGUGACCGAAGACGCUGGAAAAGGUCGGCACGUUUGGACUUCCGUCUCUUUCCCAGCUGAUAGGAUAGCAUGCUGGCAAGAAAUGGCAGUCCAGAUGUGUACACCUUCAAGCUCUUGUCA
rnacentral:miRNA from 1 species